AAAUUGGAAGAACAUUACAGGAACACUUACAAGGACACAUUUCACUGUUUUUUCACACAUUACUGCUGUUAAUGAUCAGAAAGUACCAAGAUGUUGGACUGUUUACAAAGGCAACACAUAAUUAUGGGGUCAGAUUUAUAAACUCUGUUUAUGUAAGAGUUUAAAAAGUGGAUGAACAUAAUAAAACUCCACUGAAGUGAAGUUGACUGGAGUAAAUAGACACCAUGAUCAUAUCUUCUCUUUUCACCUUUCAGGUCUCUUGAGGGGGAACGUGCCAAAGUCAAUAAGAGCCAGUAGGUGGCAGAAUAGUAACCACAGUUUGCUAAAUGUGCUCAAUACCCAACGAAGAAGAAUCAACCUGAGGAUUAGCAGGUUGUGCUUAGCUGAGCUCAGCUCAGCCUCUGAGGAAACUGUCCAUAAGUCCCUGAGACCCUCUGACUCCAGGUAGUCCUCUGUUUCCCUGCAUGCCUCGAGGUCCAGGUGAUCCCAGGGGCCCCUCAAUACCAGGCUGGCCUCGACUUCCUUCAGGUCCUCUUCUUCCAACAUCGCCAGGGUUACCGACCUUAGCAGAAAAUGAUGCACCCGAACAGGAAGACCUGGAGGACCGGGAAGACCUGGAAGUCCAGGGUCACCUUUGGGCCCCUGUAAUGAAUAACAGAAAGUAAAAGGGAGAGGAAAUGAAUACAACAGGGAUAUAAUUAUUUUUU